AGUUAGACAGCAGUCUGUUGGGAUGACACAAAUAAAAUACAUGCUUCCUUGGUGUGGUGAAACAUCCUGGGGACUGUGCCCAUCAGGUGGUUCCAUGAGCUCGUUGUGAAGAUCACAUUUACCUGAAACUACAGCUAUGUAGGAACUGGGAAGGGAAUUCUGCAACAAUUACUUGGUUUAUUUCUGGUUGCAGACAAAUUCUUCUUCAAUGACUGUGAGGAAGAAGUUCUUGAGUUCCUGUGGUGUUUAGGAAAGCUUCAGCUCUGAGAUAAAUGCCUUCCUAUUUGCCUUGGCACGUUGCUUGGUUGGCUUGGCUCAGUCACAGGGGAGGCAAGCCUCUUCACCUGGAACAAUCCGCCCACCAACAAAAUCUUAAGGAAAAAACUGCUUGAGAAAUGAAGCUUUUUUUUUUUUUUUUUUUUUUUUUUUUCCACCUGCACCCUUGCCCUCCAGCCAGCCUGGUAUUUGCUUGAGUGGGAAGGUUGCUGCUUGUAGCUCGGGUCUCUGGCGAGGAGCUGUGAGCUCCUUCCCCCCCACUCCCGUCCCUGUGCCCCAGGGAUAACAGGGAUUGCCUCAAGGGACCUGGUAGUAGUUACACUUCAGACUCAGAUGGCAAAGCUAUCACUUUUUCAAACAAAAGAAAGGGAUAAGCUCAUAUCCAUACAGACCUAUGGAAAUUAAAGGGAAACACGGCUCAACUUUCACUUGGUGAACUCACCUACAAGGCAAAUGAACCGGCCACUGCCGAAACAAACAGAAGGCCCUUCUCGGGGCAGGGAGCAUCACCUUCCCUACCAGGUCUCAACUUGCCAAACCACUCCCAAGGAAGGGUAGAUCUUGGAGGAGCUGCAGAAAGAUGCCCUUGGUAUUCUGCAGCCGUAACUUCAACAGCCAAUAUCCUACUGCUUUCCAUGAGGCGCGGGUUCCCCCACACACCUGGAGAGGAGAACUGUAAAACACUGAAGGGAAAGCUCGCAGAGGUAAUAAAGCAGUGAGAGAAAAUACCUGGGGAGGGAGCGCAAUGCACCAAAACACACCUAGCAAAACAGUAACAGGACACAAGUCAAUAAAUAAGCGCUGAUCUAUAAUACACUC
rnacentral:lncRNA from 1 species